GACAGUUUUAAAUGAUGUUACU
rnacentral:miRNA from 8 species